rnacentral:lncRNA from 1 species
CCAGGUUUAUUAUGGUAAUGGUAUGUGGACUAUCAGAUGAUACAGCCAAUGUAUUGUCUUCUCUAAUGUAUAGUAUAUCAAACGGGUUACUCGGCAUCUUGACCUCAAAGUCUUUUGAUCCUUUAUCACUGAAAACUUUUAAUUGUUUGGCCAUGUUGUAAGUAAGUACCAAUCUAUCAUCUGGAAGUACGCAACAUCCGUAAAUAUGGUUUCCUUGAGUGUCGAUGGACUUGUGUAUCGUUAGCUUUAUAUUUUCUAUAGAUUUUGUUGGAACGAUUGGAACCAUCAAUUGGGCUUGUCUGGCCUUCUUCUUGAUCAGAACUAUGUCGCAUGGAUUAGAUUCAAUACGCACUUCCCCAAAACUUCUGAUAUCUGAUAUGAUUUUCUGGAUAGAGGUGUUGAUCUGAUAUGAAAGAGUAUGCUGUUCCUUGCCUUCUACAAGAGCCUGCAAUUUUUUUUCUUUGUUAUAAACGUCCUCUUCUAUUUGCUUAAUUGAGAGAAACAUUUGAAGAUCUGUUGCGUGUUUCUUGAUGUUCAAUAGGCCCUAUUUUGGCAUUCUCCUAUUUCUUUUUCUUUCUUUUCUAGCGAGGCCAUUAACUGACAAAUUUUAGAGUUUUCUUUUUCUUCGAGCUCGUUGAGUUGUUUCAUUAAAUCUUCUUGUAGUUUGUCGAGGUGGUUGUUGAUCUGCAUUCUAGUUUUCUUAAUUUCUUUUUCUAUUUCUUUUCUUUUUUCUUUAAAAGUCAACAGAUUGUCUUGUUGAUGCUGGCGAAUUUUCUGUAGAUUAUCUGCUACUUCAACUAAUGUUUCCUCUAUCUCACACAGGGCAUUGGAGGUUUUGACGCUAUGAAUGACGUCAUCUAAUUCUACCAAUCCCUGACAUUCUUUGUGACUUUCCAUCAUACAUUUGCUACAGCAGGGACAUUCAUGCUUCUGGCAAUAAAAUUGAUAUUUUUUAUCGUGACUGGAACAAUACUGAGUACUUUUCAGUACAUUAGCUGGUAGUUUCUGGUAUUCGACAAUAGGUAUUACACUAUGACUUCGCGAUGCCUUGGACAAACCAUGAUGUUCGUUGACAUUCUGUACAUAAUCCCUCGUCACAUUCUGUACACCAGACUUAUGAUGGUUUGGUGAGGUGGCGGAGGUCACAGACACCACAACUUUGAGAUGAUGCCUCCAUUAAACACACUACAAAAUUAGAAUCAAUGAUAAAUGAAUAGUCAUAACAAUAGUUGUUCAAUCGGUGGCCUCAUCUUCAAAAGUAUAUAUCUAAAAUUAGAAAUAAUUCUCACUGAUCUCAUUUCCAUAGUUAUUUAAUUGUCCAAAAUCAAAAUAAAUUUUAUUUGUGAAGCUUAUGUUACGUCCGAUCGAAUGUCAAAAUAUUUAAAUUCAUAAAAUCGAACAUUUUAACCUUUCAUAAGAGAAAGUGGAAAAUUUGAAAAUAGUUAAAGAAGUUCAGUUCGAUUUUACUUUAUAUGUAAGGUUCAUUAACUGACGAUUGGUCAAACGUGUUCAGUAUUUGUAGAUUUAUUGUUUUCGUGAACUCCGAUUUUACAACUUAAGCUGACUGUCUGAUUGACCGUUAAAUUUAAUAUAUGAUGCAGCUGUUUGUGUUUUAACUGUAAUCAUUUUAAUUAGAAGCCGUAUAAUUUAUGUUUCUGUUUGUUUGUUUAUAAUAUGUUCCUAUACUUGUGUGAUCUAGAGAUGAAUGACGAUUUUAAUGUAUGAGAAAGUCAUGAAAGUAUUGAAGGCCUUUGCGAUAAUAAAAGUUGCUUAAUGUUGCGAUUCGAGAGAGUUGAAUAUAGUUAGUGAAAGAGAAUGGAUAUGUCUCUAUAUUGAACAAUGUAAUUAAAUGAAAGUGUAUAUACAUGCACUUGUGUAUAAUAUAAUGUAUGUAUGAAAAUUAGUUUUUAAAGCAAAUGCCUUAUAAUAGCUCCGUGUUAUUACCUUUUUAUUACCUUCAGUGUAUGGAAGGGACAUUCUGACUUUGAAAGUGCUUAUUGAAUACCAGAAAAAAAAAAUUUAAACUAAACAUUUUUUUUAACUAAAAAAUAGGGUGGGUACCGUUAUCUGAAACACACAUCUUUUUUUAUUCUGCCUAAGAUAUUCAAAAAUUAUCUUGGUAAAGUAGACGAAGAGAUGAAUAAAUAAAACAUUUUAUGCAUGAAUCAAAUUGAGUUUCGUUUUUUUUUUUCUCUCGACGAUUAUUAGAUUCAAACCUUUAAAGAUUAGUAGGUACAUUGAAGACCUGUUGGUGACCUUCUGCUGUUGUUUUUUUCUAUGGUCGGGUUGUUGUCUCUUUUGCACAUUCCCCAUUUCCUUUCUCAAUUUUAUUUUAAUUUUACUUGUUAUAUUUAUACACAAUACAAAUAAGAGGUACGGUUUUCGACAUUAUUUUGAAGCUAUUUCAAGGUUACAAGAGCGCAAUUAUUUGCUUACAUUUUACCGGCAAAGUUUUUUUUUUACCCCAAGAUAGUACUCAUAUUAGAAUCCUAUACGGCUUCUGGUUGGAUGAUACAUGAUUGGAAUUACAUUUAAUCGAAAGUUUAUCCAAUUAGGUUUAAAAAAUGCAGAACUUGAUAUUCAUAUUUUACAAAGCAUAGACAAUAUUCCAUUUCUGCACCUCGGAGCCAUUAAAAAUAUGCCUUUUUCAUUAAGCGAAAAAAAUAGACGUUCUUUUUCAACUCCAUUUUAAGUCAACUUUUGCCGCAUGACCAUAUAUAUAUAUUUUUUUGGUAGUAAUGCAGCACUGACAUUUCUAGUAACAGGAACUGCUACCCGUUCUUCCCUUGUUUGUGUAGUUCUUCGAGGGGGAAAAUACAGAACACCAGUGGUACCCGAUGGAAAAUGCAUGACUAAUAAUUGCGCUCUUGUAACCUUAAGUCUUUAUGUUAAAACGAUUUAGAAUUCAAUUUUGUUUACAGGAAAGGAUAUGCUGGCUGAUUAUUCCUACGUGAUUUGAACUAUUUGCUUACAUUUUAGUGGUUAUUUUCUGGUGUUUUCACCAUUGGCCCUUUGAAUAACGACAUACAAGGUGCACAAGAUUUAAGUGACGUUUCUUGGUCGUAUGGCUAGUAUGAUUAUAUUCAUAAUCCAAGUAUUGGUAUAGUACCGUACAUAUUCUUUUUUAUAUAUCCUUGUUUAUAACGAAGACAUUAUAAACAACUUGCCUCGGAUCUGGGACAUAAUAUAAAUAAUCAUAAAGAUGUGUAUGUUAUGUUCGAGCCAAAAACGAAAGUUAAAGUUUCUAAACGUUUGAAAAUGUAAUAUAUUUAGGUAAUAAUUGUAUAAAUAACAAUGGAUAAUGUAUUGAGAGAAGAAUUAAUCUUGGAAGUAUCAAAGAAAUCUAAAAAUUACCUUUUAAUUUGAAAUAAAACUCACUCACGUCUGGUUUACCAGCAAGGUUUUCAGUCACGUGACUAUUUAAGAAACUGAUAAAUGCCGGGAAUAUUUGAAUUAUAUCUACACACUUACAAGUACGAUGGUGGUAUAUUAAAAAUAAACAUUUAUUCCUGACAUUUUUAUACUCUUUCGAUCUUUGUUGAUUUCUAUUUAUUUCAUUAGUUUUUGGAUACGGACAACCAGAAUUUUGCGAAAAUAUCGCUUGAAAAGAUCUACAAAUGAAUUUUGUCCCACUUAUUCAUUUAUUACCCACUAAAACGAAAAGGAGCGACAAGAACAAAAAUUUAAUUAAGCAAGAAGAAAUCAAAUUUGAGUCAAGAAAGCCAAAUUAAUGCACUACCCCCCCCCCAACCCCCACCCCACCCCCCAGUAUUUCGCCAUUAUCAUAAUAACUGUCAUGUUCUAAGACGAAUGAUUUUGUCAUAUCGGAUGUUUCUUAUUUAGGUAGUGCUUGAUGCAACGUAAUUAUUAACAAAUGUCGAUUGUUAAAGAUUGUUGGAUAGUUUUGUUGUUAGGUCGCUGCGAUAUUUAUGGAAAUAUUGAAUGCAUAAUUUAUCAGUAAUUCUUUGUUUGGAAACUUCAUCAACUUCGAUCUUUAUAUGGUCGUACUAAUUUUUUUUUUAUUCAAGCGUCACUAAUGAGUAUUUUGUAGAGCAAAUCCUUGUCUGGCGUAAGCAAUUUUAAUCCUGGUAUCUAUGAUGAGAAUGUUUGAACAUGCCUUUCCCUCAAUGUACCGUUAAGUUUUUUUUGUUUUUUUUUUUUUUUAUCUUUGCUGACUUCUUUGAUAGCGUAUUUUAAGGUGUAAAUGCUCUUCAACUUUGUACUUGUCUGGCUUUCUAACUGGUUUGAUCUGAGCGUCACUGGUGAGACUUAUGUAGAUGAAACGCGCGUCAGGCGUAUUAAAUUAUAAUCCUGGUACCUUUUAUAACUAUAAUUACCGGUAUCUUGAAACAUAUUAAGAGAUAAAAAGAUACCUAUUUCUUUUUAUUUCUUUUCUAGUGACGACAAUAGCUGACAAAUUUUAGAGUUUUCUUUUUCUGCGAGGUCAUUUAGUUGUUUCAUGAGAUCGUCUUGUAGUUUGUCGAGUUGACUGUUUAUCUUCAUUCCGGUCUUCAUUAUUUCUUUUCUCUUUUCUUUCAAAGUUAACAGAUUGUCUUGUUGGUGCUGACGAAUUUUCUGUAGAUUUUCUGCUACUUUAAGUAAUGUUUCCUCUAUCUCGCACAGGGCAUUGGAUGUUUUUGAAUUUUCAAUGACGUCAUCUAAGUUGACGAUAUCCUGGUAUACUGUGUGGCUUUCUACGAUACACUUGCUGCAGCAGGGACAUUCAUGCUUUUGACAAUAUAUCUGAAACAUUUCAUCGUGUUUGCUACAGUAAUGAGUAAUUUUCAAUACACCAGUUGGUAAUUUCUGGUAUUCGACAAUAGGUAACACAUUAUGUUUUUUCGAUGCCUUAGACAAACUAUGAUAUUCUUGACAAUCUGUGCAAAGUCCCUCGUCACAUUAUGUACACCAGACUAUGGCUGGUUUGCUGCUAUGACGUAGGUAACAGACACCACAAUAAUUAAAGGCUGCAGCCAUUAAGCAAACACUACAAAAGAAUAUUCAAUGAUCGAUAAUUAAUCCUAACAAUAGUUGUUUUUUUUUAAGAAAUUAAAACAACAGCAUCCCUUUCAAUUAUCACCUUCAUGGCUUUAUUUUCAAUAGAAUAUAUAUCCAAAAUGAAAAUGAUUCUUAAUGCUUUUAUUUUCACGUACUGUUGUUCUAUUGCCGAAAAUGAAAACUAAUUUAAUUCGUUGCAGAUUGUGUAGCGUUUGAGUAUCGAAUAUUUUAAAUUGAUAUUAUCAGGCAUUCAAAAUUGUAUAAAAGAAAGUGGAAAAUUGAAACACAGAUCAAUACAUUCAGCUCCGAUUUGCUUUAGAUAUGAAGUUAAUUAUCUUAGAUGUAGAAUACAACGAGUUUGACAGACAAUGUUUGUCAUAUGAAAGAAGAGUAUAUUCAAUUGAUUUUUAUUUAGAGCUGAUGUAUACAUGCCUCAAUCAACAUGUUUCUAGUUUUAAUUGGAUACUGUUCAAACAUUUAUAGAAUAACUAAUCGAAGAAUUCAAAAAGAGAAAAAUAUUUAUCGAGUGAUUGACCGACACAUUAAUUCACGAAUGCUUAAUUUUCUGUGUUGUUCGGUCACGAGUCGAAUACAUUUUUCGAUGUUUGAAUUCUUUAAUUAGUUAUUUUUUUCAUAUUACCAAAUGUCUUUUUUUCUGAAAUGAAAGUAGAAAAUGUAAGGAAUUAUUUCUUUUCUUAGUAUUCUAAAUUUGUUUUGAUUCGACGUCAUGACAACGCCUAUUUUUGUUGUAUGACGUCAGAGGCGUGUUUAUUUCACAUGAAACAAUAUCAGUUUUAUUUCACUGAUAAAUCAAUGCUAUUCAUUGCAACCAAUGUAAUAAUUGUUAUUAACUUGUUGAAAAUACAUGAAUACGUUUAAUCACACCAACAGACUGGUAUGUCACCUGAAAAUUUAUCAGGACUAAGAUAUUUUUUAGAAACAGGUAUACAAAUAUAUAAAUUACUUAAACAUAUCUGGCAUUCAAUAAAAUUAUUUUUAUUUUCCUCUCUUUAAAUGAGAAAAAGAAUCAAUGUUAUUCUGUAUAGAUUACUAGUUAUUUGCUAUAUUUAUACACUUUAAAAAAAGAAAGCUACGAUUCUUGACAUGAUUUGGUAGCUUUUAAAUGUUGCAACAAUUAAAAAGAUAUUUUUCACCAGAAAAGAUAUGUUCAUAAAAGUUUCAUCUUCUUUUUUAUAUGUUGGUGGUAUUUUUGGGUGAAAUUUGUUGUCCCCUUUAUAUAAAGCAAAAACUAUUCUCCAGAUUUAAGAUAUUUUGCUUUGAUACCUUCCGUGAUCCUUUAGCUACGCACAGUGUAUUUAUAGUUCCAAGUAUUGGUAUAGCACAUUAAGAAUCCUGAUCUAUCAUGAAUACGUUAUAAACAAAGGCAACAAUUAUCAAAGGUACCAGGAUUAUAAUUUAGUACUCCAGACGCGCGUUUCGUCUACAUAAGACUCAUCAGUGACGCUCAUAUCAAAAUAGCUAUAAAGCCAAACAAGUACAAAGUUGAUAGCAUUGAUGAUACAAAAUUCCAUAAAGUUGUGCCAAAUACGGCUAAGGUAAUCUAUUCCUGGGAUAAAAAAAAAAUCCUUAGUUUUUCGAAAAAUUCAAAGUUUUGUAAACAGAAUAUUUAUAAAAAUGACCACAUAACUGAUAUUCAUGUCAACACCGAAGUGCUGACUAAUUAGCUGGUGAUACCCUCGGGGACGAAACGUCCACCAGCAGUGGCAUCGACCCAGUGGUGUAAAUAGGUAUUAAAGGUACCAGAACUAUAUUUUAGUACGCCAGAAACGCGUUUCGUCUACAUAAGACUCACCAGUGACGCUCAUAUCAAAAUAGUUAUAAAGCCAAACAAGUACAAAGUUGAAGAGCAUUGAGGAUCCAAAAUUUCAAACAGUUGUGCCAAAUACGGAUAAGGUCAUCUACCUAACCUCAGAACUAGGACAUAUCACAAAUACUUAUAAAUAUAUAGUGUGUACCAGUACAAAACGAAAGUUGAAAUGAUAUUUGUUUUUAAUAAACUCACAUGUUUAGUUUAUACUUUUUCAACGGAGAAUGAAACACUAAAAUAAACAAGAAUUAUUCUUCUUAAUAUUGAAUAACAUCGUAAAAUUACCUUUUACCUUGAAAUAUAAUUCAUUGACGUCUGGGUUACCAGGUAUGUUUUAAAUCACGUGACGGUUUUAUUAUUUAUAUUAUGCCGGGGAAUUUUAAAUUCAAUCUACACACUAACAAUGUGUCUGCUCAUGGUGUGUUAUGUCUUCUUCCUCAAGAAAUCGAUCUAUGCAGCUAUCAAACUCUUUAGCCAUUCUUGCCAUUUCAUGUCCCGCUAUCAUAUACAUCCAUCUUCGUUGGGUUAAUGGAUUUUAUGUUUAUCAAACAGUGUCUUAAUCUGACUUAAAAACAACAUUGUUUUGCUUAUGCUUAUGGUCAAUUGCUAUUGCUGUAACAUUUUCUUUGACUUAUGAACUACAAAGUUUCCAUCUUCUUGAUACUGCUUGCAAAGCACAUUGGUAUUAUUUGCAUUCUAUCAUACGGCACCGACAAACAUAAAUGAAAAAUAUAUCCACUGUUCCUUGUUUUCUUGUCUAACAGUGAACCAUUAACUCUAGGUGUGCUUCUCUAGAUGCAUGAUGACAAGUUUUUUUUAUAGUUACGGAUUCGUUUGUAGCUGUUGAAAAAUUAACAUUUAAGCAAUCGUUAUUGUUUCUUGAAAAAUAAGAGUCGGUUGAUAUAUCUGGUUCCGUACAACAACAUACUACCAAGAGUUAAGAAGGAUCUUGGAAACGAAUUCUCCUGAUAGUUCGCUUAACAACUGCCAUCAAACCUAGAUGUAACACUAAACAUGUCUCUGCGAAUGGUUUUAUGGCUUUAUAAAUCUGCAUGUAGUUUGAUCAAAGUCAUCAUAACAUGCUUUUUGAAGAGCGGACCCUUUAUCAUCUUUGCAAGCAAGUAAACUCUCUCACCCUUGUUUGUAUUCCUGAAUAUCAGAAAAAUAAGCAAGAUUUCGAUAUAAAGAUGUGGUAUAAGUGCCAAUGAGACAACUAUCCAUCCAAGUCAAACAUGUGCAAACUCGUUAACAGGCAAACAACCAAAAAUUGUAAAAUAUAAGAAGCUUAUUCGAUAAACUGUACUGUGAUCUCUGCCUUCAAUAUCAACAAACAGAUUCAGUCAGAGUAAAUCUUUGUAAGAUCUGACAUCUUGAAUACUAGUGCCCAAUCUUACUCGGUUUUUGAAUCUUUAAUGUAGCAGAUUCUUUUAGCUAAUGCGAUAACAUGACUUAUUCGUGUGUCUCUUCCAUAUUCAAACCACCUUCGCCAGAAACUAUUGAUGCCUUCAAUAAAGAUUAGCUAGACACUGAACAUGAUGAUAUGCUCCUUCUGCAACAAGGUUCUCUAAUAAAGCUGUGUCGUGGAGCUUUAGUGCACAUGUACGACACAGUCGUCGGCAUUACUUUAACAUUCUUUGUCUUUGUUCAUCUGAUUCUCAAUAAGUUUAAAUCUUUUUAGAUCUCAUUGAAUUGUUAUUUAGAAUUUUUAUAAGUGUAUGUCUAUCUUUUUUUCAAAAAUAAUAAUGAAACAACAGGAUUGACAAAAAAUGAAUUUGAAUGGUCUCCAAAGAACCAUGAACAUACAUAUUUAUUUGAAAAAUAUAUCUACUUUAUGAUAGUACUUGUAUUUAUUUACGAUUCUAGAAUUAUGUGGUAAUUUUAUUUAGAUGUUACGAUAGUUUUUCAGUCGGAAGAUAACAAAAUCCAUAAAUCUCUCGAAAUCUCGUGGAGUCUGCGAUUUUAUCAAUUUUAUACUGAAAAGCCUACCAUAUUCAUUUCCAGUUAGGUAUACUAUUCCCAAAAAGACAUAAUAGAUUAUUCUAUUACAUACUUCGUAUAACUUUUUUGUAACUAAAGAUUCAUAUUUUUCUUGAAUUGUAACACAAAAUUGCGACCGGAAGUGACCAAAACGUCAUCAAAUGCUGUUUCAACAUUAUAAAAUAACACUAAAAACCAUCUGAUGUGAUUCAAAUCAAAUUAAAACAUCAGUUUUGUAGUUUAAACUAAAAUCUCUGAGAGAAAAUUCAAAAAGUCAAAAUUUAAACAUGCAUCCGUCAUAUUGUAUUUUACCGGAAUUCAACUAUAUUUACAGCUUGCCUUCAUAUCUUAAAUUAAAGAGUAUAGAUUGAAGUAUGUUUAGUUCACCCUUAGUUUUUGGUGGAGUUCGUGUUGCUGAUUCUUUAGUUUUCUAUGUUGUGUCAUGUGUACUAUUGUUUGUCUGUUUGUCUUUUUAAUUUUUAGCCAUGGCGUUGUCAGUUUAUUUUCGAUUUAUGAGUUUGACUGUCACUUUGGUAUCUAUCGUCCCUCUUUUAGGCAAAAUUUGGUGCUUUUAACACGAAGUGCACAAUUCUUUCAUAUAUUGCACCUAUUUGGCGGACUACAGGUAGCAAUAAACAGUAAGGAAAAAAUAUUAAAAUUUGCCCUUAUAAAUUUUACCAUCCACUUUCCGUUGCUUUCUUGCAAUAUUAGGCUUACUGUUUGUGUCAUAUAUGUGCAUACGUCCAUCAAUUUUAUAUCAAGUAUUUAUAAUGGAAAAAUAUAAUUUCUUUUAUGUGUAUUAAUACAUUUCGAUUUCACCGUUUACAUGACAGGAAACCAAACAGGAAACCAAUCUUUAUUUUUUUUAUUUUGCACAAUAUAUUUCAAAAGACAUAAAUGAACACCAUUACUGGUGUUGCUUGCUUCGUGUUGAUAUUUAAAAUCUAUUUUCAUUGUUAAAUUAAAGGGUUUUUUUAAACGCGACAGGAAACCAUAGGAAUUCGAAGGCAUUUUUUUAGUUUUAUUUUAUUGCAAAAUCUGCUUAAAAUUAUCUAAACAGUAUACUUUUUCUUAAAAUCCAUCUUAAAUGUAACAUUAUUAUAUAAAACUCCUAAAUAUGUGCUUGUUUUGAAAACAAUUAGUACAAUUUAUUCAGAAAUUUCCAUAUUUUCUUUAUUGAUACAGGAUACCAUAAUCGUUGCAUCUUAAUGUUUUAGCCAAAAAAAUGUAUUUAUAUUUGGUUUUGAAAUUCCGGCUGUAUACAAUUUAUUCCAAAUCAUUGACAAUGUCAAAAUUCUAUAAAUCCGGUAAAGUAAAAAACUUUUAACUUGGAAUUAAAAUCUUUAAAAUAGGCACCAUGUGAUAUUUGUGACAUGUACACCAUCUACAUGGUUUCCACAUUUUAACCUACUGUAGGGGGCUGAAAUCAAUAAAGUACUUCCUUUCAAGUUAUGCAAGGUAAAAGUUUAUUUCUCCUUUGACAAUUUUAUUGCAUUUCUGAAAAGUGUUUGCAGAACAUGAUUAAAAAAAGUAAUUUUAAAUUGUGACAAAGAUACCAACUUUGUACAUUCCAAGUGUAACGGUAUAUUAACAUGUAUUUUUUAUUAAAUUAUCUUUAUUCACCUAAAGUAUCCAGUAAUAUUUACUGCUCAUUGGCACUCACACCACAUCUUCCUAUAUCUAUAUAUGAAGCAAAAUCAAUUCAACGAGCAUCGGCACAAUGAUAAGAAACGUAAUGUCAAUUGAAUUUUCCAAGUACCCUUUUUCAUCGUUAUCCGGAAACAAAGUGUGUUAUAACGUCCGUCAAAUCUGAAAUCGAUUUUGUCAAGUCAUGAUCAUUGGGCAUUUAUUUUCACUCAAGAUCGUAUGUAACAUUAUGCACAUAGGAAAAAUAAAAUACCCCUGGCGCUAUCUCUUUGAAACUUGUGUUUUCCUUUUUUAAACAAUAUGAAACAAGUCUCCAGAAUAUGCUUGCUAACAUACCGUUGGAAACAAAAACAAUGUUUAGACCUAGUACUUCAUAUAUCCGGCCGUAAGCGCGUGAUCACAUGUUAGUCACAUGUUUCACGUAUGACCGGAAAUGAUCAGAACUUAACGACAAAAACAGUUUUAUUAAAAAAACAAGAAUGUGUCCACAGUACAAGGAUGCCCCACUCGCACUAUCAUAUUCUAUGUUUAGUGGACCGUGAAAUUGGAAUAAAUUCUCUAAUUUGGCAUUAAAAUUAGAAUGAUUUUAUCAAAGGGAACAUGUAUACUAAGUUAUAAGUUGAUUGGACUUCUACUCUAUCAAAAACUACCUUGACCAAAAACUUUAACCUGAAAUUUGCACUAUCAUUUUCUAUGUUCAGUGAACCGUAAAAUUGGGGUCAAAACUCUAGUUUGGCAUUUAAAUUAGAAAGAUCAUAUCAUAGGGCACAUGUAUACUAAGUUUCAAGUUGAUUGGACUUCGUCUUCAUCAAAAACUACCUUGACCAAAAACUUUAACCUGAAGCGGGACAGACGGACGAACGAACGGACGGACGAACGGACGCACAGACCAGAAAACAUAAUGCCCCUCUACUAUCGUAGGUGGGGCAUAAAUAGGGAAUAUCUGGACUUUUGUUUCUUGUGAAAUGUAUAUAUGUCAUUCAUCUCAUUUGUUUGUAAAAUUGCGUCAAAAACUUCGUGUAGAAAAAAAGGUUUGUAAACAUUACAUUAAUUUCUGGAACAAUGGUCAGUCUAGCUAUGAAAAUACAGAGUCAAACAGAAAAUCUGCAAUAAAACAUGUAAAAAAUAAUACUGAUGUUCUUAUAAACAAUCUUUGAAGGCUAAAUUAGUACUCAGCUGUCAAAAAAUGAAAUUUAUUAGACAAUAACUUUCAUAUUUAAAAAAUCCACUGGGGCAAAAAUGCGAAACUAAACUCCUAACUGUGUAUUGCUACCUCAUACAAUAAAUCAGUGAAACUGACAUGUUACAUUUACAUUCAAAUUUUACUUUUGGACAAAUCCUUUUGGGUGUUAUAUAACAGAGUUAAAAUGACUUUAAGCUGUGUUUAGCUUUUUGAUGCUAUGCUUGAGACUUAAAGAAUUCAUCAUUAAUUAUGUUUUAUAUUAAAUUAUCUACCUAGACAAUAAGUUACUACAUUUUACGGACGCCAUCACGAGUUGGUUGACCGUUAUGGAAUAACCGUUUCACAAAUGAUAUCGGAUAUGUUCCUUACGUCGUAACUACAAUCCCCUUCCCUUUCAUGAAUAUGACCUACCGAAUUAGACAAUUUACCGGAUUUGUAAUCACAUAAGCAACACAACGGGUGCCACAUGUGGAGCAGGAUCUGCUUACCCUUCCGGAGCACCUGAGAUCACCCCUAGUUUUUGGUGGGGUUCCUGUUGUUUAUUCUUUAGUUUUCUAUGUUGUGUCGUGUGUACUAUUGUUUUUCUGUUUGUCAUUUUCAUUUUUAGCCAUGGCGUUGUCAGUUUGUUUUGGAUUUAUUAGUUUGACUGUCCCUUUGGUAUCUUUCGUCCCUCUUCUUUUACUAUAUAUCUAAUUGAUAAUGGACAUAAUAAUCAAAGUGACAAUAAUGCCUCAGGGCUUAAUCCUUUAUUCUUCUAAAAUUAGAGACAUUGCUAAAAGAGUUGUUUUAAUUAUUUAUCUUUCUUUAUCUGGAUAAUAAUUUGUUUAUAUUUGUCAACACAUUAUGCAAUAAUUGAUUUUAGCUAAUUGUUUAAUUCUCAUAGAUAUUCAUAUUGUAAAAUUAUUGUGAAAGGUUUAAGUUUGGAAGUCAUAGCGUUGGUGACAAGUUCCAGUCUUGGAAAUAAAUUAUAUACUCAGUGGAAUUCAUCUUCUGUGUAAUACUGCUAGUUUAUGGUGCAUGGUGAUUUAGGUUUAACAUUUAGUUGUGACCGAAUCCUCCUAUCAGUCUCCUAGAUAUUAGACUGUGCAUUUCAUGGUUACAGUUAUUUCCUCUGAUAAUUACAUUCUUUGUAUAUUUUGCAGUUUUGUUACUGUUAUCUUGGGAAAAGAUAGUAGCAAAAUUGUUAGCUAGACAAAUCUGCAAACAAAUCUGGUUUCACUGAUAAGUCAUAAUUAAGUCAAUAAGAGAAAUGUAGCGGGAAGAAACAAAAGAAAAAAAAGGUUUAAUAUUUUUAAACAUAAUUUAACAAACAAAAAAAGAGAGUCAACAAAUAGCUAUUGUUUAUUGAUUUUAUAAAGUUUCAAGUCAAAGAACAAAAAUAACCAGUUGAAUCCUUAUAGGAGAUAUCGACCGUAAAUUGCAAGUUUACCAUUUUUUCAUAUUUUUAGCUACAAUCUUGAAAAUUAUAAUAUACAUAUAUUUCAACUAAGACUACUAUAUCAAACAAGCUCAUUUUAAACUGCAAACAUUGUUAGCACAAAUAAAAUUCACAAGUGAGUCAAUAUGGUUAAAAUCUACUCCUUACGUAUGUGGGUUAUCAUCCUUACAUUUUGAUUGUAAUAAUUGCUUAGUAGAUAGAGGAUAUAACUAACAAAAGAAGAAACAAAAGGUUUAACUAUCAGGUAAGCAACCAGAUCUACAAGACAGUAUAAUUUCAGGUUAAUAUGACCGAAAUCACCAGUCGACUCGUUAUUGGAGUGAUUGUAAUUUUAUGACAAUUCUAAAAGAGGGACGAAAGAUACCAAAGGGAGAGUCAAACUCAUAAAUCUAAAAUAAACUGACAACGCCAUGGCUAAAAAUAAAAAAAGACAAACAGACAAACAAUAGUACACAUGACACAACAUAGAAAACUAAAGGAUAAACAACACGAACCCCACCAAAAACUAGGGGUGAUCGCAGGUGCUCUGGAAGGGUAAGCAGAUCCUGCUCCACAUGUGGCACCCGUUGUUUUGUUUAUUUGUUUUAGCUUUUUGAGAUGAAAACAAGUCGAGAAAAAAAAUUCGUUAAUUAAGCAAAAAGAGGCGAGAGUAUCUUAGAAAUUUCAAACUCACAAGUUGGUUGGAAAUAAACUGGCAACGCCAUUGCUAAAAAAGAAAGGGACUAACAGACAGGAAACACAACAUACAAAACUAAAUAUUGAGCAACACGAAUCCCAACAAAAACUUAUCUAAUGUGCUCCCAAAGGGUAAAUAUUUCUUGCUCCACGUCGUGUUGCCAAUUUUAGUAUAUAAUCGGCAGUAUGUCUAAUUCAGUAGGUCACAUUCAUGGAAAUAUGAACUGGAUUGGUAUUGCGAAAAUUGUAACAUAUCUGCUAUCAUCUGUGAAACAAAUAUUUUAUAACGAUCAACCAACUCGUUAUAAAGUCUGUGAAAUUAACGAUUUCAAGUUCACCAUUUGGAAGACUUGGUUUAAAAGCUUUCUUGUGAGCAACAACCCUCUAUCAUGAAAAUUAUCAAAUGACUUCUGGAAGGAAAUAUUGAAACAUGUUUUUAUUCAUAAUUUUCCUAUGAUCUUAAAAACUAUGACUAUUAAAAAAAAGAAAAAAAUAAGUAAGCAGCAAAAAUAUAAGCUAGGCUUAACUUAAUAGAUACUCGUCACAUGAUUGCUUAUCAGCUUUAAAAUGUCCUUCAAUAACGAUAUUUACACAUUUCUGUGUUUUGGGCGAAAAAUGUAUUGCUGAUCGAUAGAAGCAGCAAACAAAAUACAACAAAAUAAAUGAGAUGUUACCAUUAAUUGAAUGAAAUGUUCGCAAAUUUUCUCAUUAUUUUGCAAUUAUCAAGAAAUUUUUCUGUUCUAAGGCGGUUGUUUCAGUCAUAUUUGAUGUUUCUUUCUUAUUUAAUUAGUAUAUGUGGUAGAUUAUUGGUAGUUCUGCAGAUUUGUUCAAAACUUGGAAGGAUGAAGGAAGAGCUUGAAGUAACAUAUAAACAUAUGUUUAUUGUUAAAACUAUAUGUGCACCACAAAAUGUCUUUUGAUAUUUUUAUGUUGCUAUCAUAUUCGUGAAACUUUUGAAUAGAUUACCUUGGCCUUUUUUGUCAAAAUCGGUCGUGAUUUUUCGGAAUUAAUUUAGUUUCCCUCACUUUUUCUACUGCAUUAAUAUCUUCCUCAAAUGCAGAUACCAUGUUUUGUUUAGAUAUUCCACGUCUGGAACAUUAAAAGACUGAUAUAGAAAUUUUUCAAAACUUUUGAGGUAGAACUGCAACGAUGAAUUGUGAAAAUGCCACCUGUCCUUGUCUAAACGUGUUAUCAGUUCUGUCUCCUCUGUCCAGCAACAAAACAACCUUAGCAUCACUGAGGCACACAUAACCUCACUAAAGCAAGUGAUCAUCAUAUUUUUAAUGAAACGCGGAAACGCUUCUUGCAUAACAUUUCCUAUCAUUUCGUGUAAAAUAAAAAAAAGAAUAUAUAUUUGCAGGUUAACAAAAGAAAUUGAUUCAUGUUAUUUAAAUACUCUGUCUGAAGGUAAAACUUUAAACACAAAACUUCGGUAGAAGUUUUAUACUGUGAUAAAGAAAGUUUAAUUUCGACAUGGAACCAAUAGUAUAAGUGAGAACUAGAAGGUAUCGAUUUAAAAGAAGAUAGUUUGAACAAAAUUCCACAAAUGCCAACCAUUUUCAUUGGAUAAUAAUUUAUUAUUAUAUAUAUCUAUAUCAUAUCCAUACUUAUUGUGUUCUUAAAGACCAACCUUGCACGAAGUAUAUGAAUAAUACAAAUGCAUAGUGUUUAUUAAUAAGUUAUGCGGAGUUAAUGAUUUUAUAACGUUGAGUUACGCAUUCAUGAGCAUGGGCUACUUUUUCCUGACAUGGUUUGUUUUCAUACGAUUUGAGAGCAUAUGGUCGAAUUAAACUAUUUGUCUAUCCGGGAAUAUGUGUAUGAACCCCACACAUACUGCGUGCAAAUAUAAGUCUAUAAAAAAAGUUACACUUCAUGUUAUUCUCGACAUUUGUCACCUAGCUUAUUAGUUGACACACACAUAUAGAAAUAAAGACAACCGCAGUGUACCAGUGUCCAAAAGUCAUAAAUCGAUUGAGAAGAAACAAAUCCGUGGUUACUAACCAAACCCUAUGGAAACACGUCAACAAUAAGAGGAAAACAAAGAAAAAAACAGUAACAGCGAAGUGGAACAAAAACAAACUCAUACACACAUGGGAGAAAAGAAGAAUUAAGGUUUAUCGCUGGUUUAAGUUGUUUCAUGUAAUGAAUCUGUUUUUAUUCUGUAAAUGGUCACCAACAAAGUGGAAUUGAAGUUUAUCAGCAAUUUCAAGCACGUCCGUUUGCAAUUAAGAUAUGGUUGAACCAGAUAGAAAACUUAUUUUUAAAGCAUACAAAAUCCUGACCAAAUGUGUUUAUGUAAAUGAAUGAAGCUGUAUUCUUUUCAUUUUUGUGAGAUAAUUGACACGGAUAGACAUCUUUGUUUUAAACACACACUCCAUAUAACAUAUGAUAAAACUGACGAUAAACAAGAUAUAAAUCCUUUACAAUAAUCAUUUACAAAUUAUUUUUUUUUAAAGAAUGCAUUAUAAUAAAAGAAAGCAAGUGCUUGUACAAAUACAUAGUGUUCAUUGUUUAUAAACAUUUAAUAUAAUAAAAAUCGACAGACAGCAGUUUUCAUAGUUAUUUUUUUUUUCAAAUACAAUUAGUCAAUAAAGCCUUUUUCUCGAAGUUGGCGAGUAGCAACUGAUUGGUUGGUCCACUAUAAUGGAGUGAAACAGGAUAAUUUAUACCAAUACUUCCUGUCAAUACCUCUGUAUGUCGUUGUCCAUCAGGGGAGAUAACUACAACAUUGUUAGAAUUGUAUCCCGCCACGUAUACAUUGCCAUCGCUAUCUACAUCAAUACCAUGAGUAGACUUAAGAACGCUUUCGUUAUGGAAUGUCCAUUGUAGUUUACCUUGUAGAUUAUAACAUGAAGCCGUGUGUGUCCUAUAGUUUGUAUGAUACAUUUUGUCCCUAAAUGUUGCAGUGUAACAGUUAGCGGGCAGUUUGUCUCGAACUAUGUCACGUAUAGACUCGUCGUACAUAUUAAUCAUGUGUAGACCUUUGUCUGUAGCAGCAUAAAUCAAUUGAUUACCUUUCAGUGCUAUUCCAUCAAUUGCCGAAUCCAAAGCAAUUGAUUUCAUUAUUUGUUUUGUCUCCAGGUUUAUUAUGGUAAUGGUACAUGGAUCAUCAGAUGAGACAGCCAAUGUAUUGUCCUCCCUUAUGUAUACUAAAUCAAACGGGUUACAUGGCAUCUUCACCUCAAAGUCUUUUGAUCCCUUUUUAUUGAAUACUUUAACAAUUUUCAUCAUGUAGUAACUAAAUGCCAAUCUAUCUCCGGCAGUAUGCAACAUCCAUAAAUAGUAUUUCCAUCAGUGUCGAUGGUCUUGUGUAUCGUUAGAUUUAUAUUUUCUAUAGAUUUUGUUGGAACGAUUGGAAUCAUCAAUUGGGCUUGUCUGGCCUUUUUCCUGAUCAGAACUAUGUCGCAUGGUUUAGAUUCAAUACGCACUUCCCCAAAACUUCUGAUAUCGGAUAUGAUAUUCUGGAUAGAGGUGUUGAUCUGAUAUGAAAGAGUAUGCUGUUCCUUGCCUUCUACAAGAGCCUGUGAUAGUUUUUCUUUGCUAUAAACGUCCUCUUCUAUUUGCCUCAUUGAGAGAAACAUUUGAAGAUCUGUUGCGUGUUUCUUGAUGUUCAAUAGGCUGUCUUGGCAUUCUCCUAUUUCUUUUUCUUUCUUUUCUAGCGAGGCCAUUAACUGACAAAUUUUAGAGUUUUCUUUUUCUUCGAGCUCGUUGAGUUGUUUUAUUAAAUCUUCUUGUAGUUUGUCGAGGUGGUUAUUGAUCUUCAUUCUAGUUUUCUUUAGUUCUUUUUCAAUUUCUUUUCUUUUUUCUUUAAAAGCCAACAUAUUGUCUUGUUGAUGCUGGCGAAUCUUCUUUAGAUAUUCUGCUACCUCAACUAAUGAUUCCUCUAUCUCGCACAUAGCAUUGGAGGAUUUGGCGUUAUGAAUGAUAUUCUCUAAUUCGACAAUUUCCCGGCACUCUUUGUGACAUUCCACGAUACAUGUGCUGCAGCAGGGACAUUCAUGCUUCUGGCAAUAGAAUUGAUAUUUUUUUAUCGUGACUGGUACAAAACUGAGUGAUUUUUCAGUACAUUCGCUGGCAGUUUCUGGUAUGCGGCAAUAUGUAUCACACUGUGGCUUCGCGAUGCCUUAGACAAACUAUGAUGUUCUGUACAUAGUCCCUCGUCACAUUCUGUACACCAGACUAUUGAUGGUUUGGUGAGGUGGCGGAGGUCACAGACACCACAACUUUGAGAUUGUGCAGCCAUUAAACAAAAACUAAAAAAAAUGAAUAAAUGCUAUAUGAUAAGUCUUAACAAAAGUUGUUUAAUGGGUGACCUCACCUCAAAAGUAUAUAUUUCUAAAUGGAAAAUAAUGUUCAAUGACUUCAUUUCCACGUGACUUGGUUUUUUAUUGAAGAAAAACAAAAUACAUUUUAAUCGUUGCACUUUUUGUAAUGUCAAAUUUAUCUCAAAAUAUUUUAACUGAUAAAUCGAUGAUUUUAAUAAAGAAAUUCAGUUCGAUUUACUUCAAAUAUGAAAAAGGUGCGAAAAGUAUCAAAGGGACAGUCAAACUCAUAAAUAGAAAAUAAACAGACAACGACAUGGCUAAAAAAAAAGAAAAACAGACAAUUAAUAUUACACAAGACACUACAUAGAAAACUUAAGACUAAUCUACACGAGCCCCACAAAAACCCGGUAAAUAGUCUAAUUCGGUAAGUCAUAUUCGUGAAAAUGGAAGGGGAUUUAGUUACGACAUAAGGAACAUAUCCUAUAUCAUCUGUGAAACGGUUAUUCUGUUAUGGUCAACCGACACGAUUUAAGAAAGGGGGAUUUUAACUUCACCAACGAUUAGUUUAAAAGCGUCAUUGAAAUCAGCAACUCUUUAUCAAGGAAAUCAUGAUAGGAAAUACAAGCCCUGGAAUAUCGUAUCAAUUGGAAUAUAUAUACUCCGUAUGCAGGCGCUGCUGGAAUGUUGCUACAUAGAAAUCAUCUCUUUUGUCGUAAAGACACGUUAUCUAUAAAGAUAGUGUAGAAAUGGAACAUCGAUAAAGAAAUUCAGUUCGAUUUACUUCAAAUAUAACGUUCAUUAUCUCAGGGUUCACAAUACGAAGAUUGUUCGUGUGAAACAGUUUAUCGUAGUGGGACAGAGGAUAUACUGAAUUAAUUUUGAAUGUGAUCUAAUAUAAGACUGUCGUGGCCCUCGAUCAUCUGAUUACUAGAUAUAGUAGGCCAAGGUUUGUAUAUUUAUUGAUAAUUAACUAGACAAAAAAAACAAUUAUAAACUUAUUUCACAGGCAAACUUAAUAGCAACUGAUCAGCACUAUGAUAUUAAAAAAUAUAUAUUAGUAAGGUUGACGACGAGAUUAAUAAAUAAAGCAUUUUAUGCAUGUACCAAGUUGAAUUUCCAUUUUUUGUUACGAGACGGAGAAUCAAUUCAAACCUGCAUAAAUUGAUAAGUACUUUUUAUGUUUGUACACAAUAAAAAAAACAGAGGUACUGUUCUUGAUAUUGCUAUGUAGCUAUUCAUGUUUGAUCAAUUUAGAGUUUAUUUUUGUUUCACAAGAAAGGAAAAGUUGAAUGGUUAUUCUCACGUGAUUUGGACUUUUUUCUUAAGUAAUUGUGAUAUUUUUGGGUAUUUUGACCAAUGAUAUUCCUUUGUAUAAAGGCAUAAAAUAUGCACUAGAUUUUCAUUAUCUUCCUUGGUCAAAUAGAAACAUAGAGAUUAUAUAUAAAUAUGCAUGUAUAUUGGUCAGAUGUUUGAUAUAAUUCUAUACAAAUAUCCUUGCUAUAACAAACAUAAUAUAAAAAGUAAAAUCACAAAAAUACUGAACUCAGAAAAAAAUCAAAUUGGAAAGUCCCUUAUCACAUCGCAAAAUCAAAUGACAAAACAAAUAAAAAACGAAUGGACAACAACUGUCAUAUUCCUUACUUGGUACAGGCAUUUUCAAAUGAAAAAAUGGUGGAUGAAACCUGGUUUUAUAGCGCUUAACCUCUCACUGUGUACGACAGUCUCAUCAAAUACCGUUAUAUUUACAAUGAUGCGUGAACUAAACAGUCAUUCAUAAACGAGGACAAUGCAUUACUCUUUACUUUAUACAUACUAACGAUACUCAUCAAUAUAUAUGUAGGACUCUAAAGUGCGAUAUUUCUUAAGUGCGAUGGUCACGCUAAAGUACGAUGGUCUACGCUAAAGUGCGAUGGUGUCAGACGCUAAAGUGCGAUUGUUGUUUGUUUUUAAAGUCCGAUGGUAUAACGGGAAUGUGGUUCAGGCAAUGGUUUUCGUUUGUUGCUGAGUUCCUAUCACAUUUUCGUUUAUUGUUUUAUUUAUAUAUCAAGCCGUAGUCGUUCUCGUUUGAAUUGUUUUACACUUGUCAUUGUAUAACCCUAUAUAGCUUGUUAUGCGUCACGGGCCAAGGCUUUACGCUGACGGCCGUAUGAUUAUAAGUUGCAUACAUGAACGACAUUUGGGGUUUGAUGGAUAGUUUAUACUACAUCUUCUUAUUUUUAUUUAAAUACGAUAGUUGUCCAAAAAAGUGUAAUGGUUACACUGCAGUAUAGUUAGUAUAUCCGGAAAUAAAUGGAAGUCGUUUUUUAAUAAAAAAAAAAUAAUAUGUUGUGCAAGACAAUGAUCCGCGUUAAAGGUCAUACCUAAAGUUGCAUACAUCAAUGCCAUUAGGUCGAAGAUAGAGUUGUCAUAUGUGCAUUCAUAUAGUAUAAUGAUACUAUACAUCUGUUCGUUAGGUUGCUGUCUAGAUGACGUAUAUUCAUUAUUUAACAGAAAUAACAAACCAUAUUGUUUUUUUUAUAGAAUUAUUCAAUUAGAAAGUAACUGUAUUGAUAAAAGUUCUUUCUACAAUUUUACAAAUUAAGUUAACCUCUUCCAGCAACGACCAAAAAAGUUCUAGAUUGUGAUCAUUUGUUUUUCUCUUCUUUCUUUUAUUGUCUAAAAAAAUAAAAAAAAUCCUUAAUCUGGACAAACAUUCUCGUCAUAAUGCUGUCGAACGUUGCUAACGUCGAUACUUGUGCGGAAAAAACGCACUUUAGCGUUUUCAAAUGAAUAGCACAGACCAUCGAACUUUAGCGUAUCAAACCAUCGCACUUUAGCGUAGGCCAUCGCACUUUAACGUUACCAUCGGGUUUUAGCGUCCCCAUCGCACUUUAGAGUCCUACAUAUAUAAAUAAGGUUCCAGGUUUCCAGAACAAAAGUUGAAUUAAUAAGAAAAAAAAUACAACUUUCACGUAUUUAGGAAAUAAUUAUCCUUGUUAUAUUAGGGAGCUUGACUUUACUAAAAAAAAAAAUACUAUAGAUAUUAAUCAAAAUAUUAAAAUUACCGUUCGAUCCGAAUUAUCUACACUACCGUCUGAUUUACCAGGUUAUCAAUCACAUGACUUAUUUAGAAUUUGAUUAUUUAUUAUCUACACACUAACGAUUGGGGUAGAUUAAGAAAUAUACCCACUUAUUAUAGACAUUUCUUACUUUUAUUCGAUCUUUGCAUUCUACUUUUGUUUAACUUAUUUAUUUCUGGAACGUCAAACCUGAAAUUUUGCCCGUAAAAACACACUUUUUUUCUAUGUCUAAUACACAAAAUCAAUCUAAUUAAAAUAAAAUCCUUUAACAUGUUUAAUUGAUCCCGUUCUGGUAUGUCGCGCAUUAAGGCCCUACACGGGAGCAAUUAAAACUUUAAUUUUAAUUAGCUUGACACACAAUUUUUGAGUCUAGCAUGUUUUCAUUACCCUGCAGUUUGCAUAUAAACCAUACAAUCCCGUGUGUGGGUCUUAUUGCCACUAAGAUAUCUCAUUAUUAGCUCUUUUUGCAGUUUUGUUUUGUUAUUAUCUUGAUAACUAUCGAGUAUAGGAAGACAAAUUAUAAAAAAAAACGAAAAAUAGAAUAAAUGUCAGAUUUAAAAGACCAACAAGCAAGUUUAGUUUAACCAAUUAUUAAAAAAAUGCGUCAAGAAGGGACUAGAAAAAAAUGUAGUGAGAAGAAAGCGAUUUGUCAUCCAGAAAAUAAAACAAUAGAAAAUAGUCAAAUACAAUAACAUUUUGAAUAAGAAAUACUUUUUCAUUUAGUUCUAAACUGCAAAAAUAUAUCAACCCAGACAGGAUCUAGAAUGAAUAAAGAUGAAAUUAUAAGUCAAAGUUGCUGUCCGUAUAUUUUCAUUUUAACCAAAAACUCGGCCUUUUUUUUACUUUAGGGGUCCCAACCCUUAAAGAGCUAUACUACACUAUCCUAAACCCCAAACCUUACGCUAACCUAUACAUAAACCUAAUACUAGUCAUAACCCUAAAACCUAAUCCUAACCUAACCAUAACCAUAAAUGAUCAUGAGUUCUAGAGUAUAGGGACACUCUAAGUAAAAGAAGGCCAAAAACGCUCAGAUACCGAAAAUUACCUAAUGUAACAAAAUAUGUUAAAAAAGCGAAACUAUUUGUGUUUGGCCUAUAAUUUUGAAAACUUUAACAUAUAGAGAUAGAAUGUUUAAGCUGCAAAAAAACUUAUUAUAUUAGCUAGGUUAACAAGUUAGUCGUUAAAAUACUUCAAUUACGAUUUUUACACAUUUGUGUAUUUGGACGAAAAUCAUAUGGAAUGCAUGUGAAUUAAAAAAUCUGUAUGCGGCAAAAUGUGUGCUGUGAAUUAAAACCUACAAUAAAGUCAUCCGGUCAAAGUCGAUAACGGACACAUUAAUGAAGUUCUCUUGAAUGAAAAUGUCCAUCCAUUUUUAUUGCAUUUACAUGCAAUUAUCAUGAAAACUUGUAUAUUCCAGUCAGUGUAAAGGAUAAAGAGAAGUAAUUAACAGCGAAAUACGUUGAACAAGGAUCUGUUUCAUACCUUGACUUUUUUUCCUCAAUAUUGACACAGAUGGACGACUUCACACGAAAAUCUAUGAUAAACGGGACGAUUUCAACUUCCGUAUUAUCAAUUUUCCCAUUUCUCAGCAGUAACAUACCUUCUACCCCUUACGUAUGGUGUUUACAUAUCUCAAUUAAUACCAUAUUCUCGUGCAUGUUUACACUAUACGGACUUUAUAUACAGGAGUNNNNNNNNNNNNNNNNNNNNNNNNNNNNNNNNNNNNNNNNNNNNNNNNNNNNNNNNNNNNNNNNNNNNNNNNNNNNNNNNNNNNNNNNNNNNNNNNNNNNNNNNNNNNNNNNNNNNNNNNNNNNNNNNNNNNNNNNNNNNNNNNNNNNNNNNNNNNNNNNNNNNNNNNNNNNNNNNNNNNNNNNNNNNNNNNNNNNNNNNNGGUUUUGUUGAGUUUCCAAGUGAAUUGUCAAUACCUAAUUCGUUUAUCAGGCAGUUAAUGUAAUGAGUUUACAUACAAAAAUGAUGUUGUUUGGGGCUUUAUCUGCGGGGACAACAACAUAUUUGUCAUGGAGGUAGGAUAAGUGUUUUCCAACAUUUGGGUCUUUAAAGAAUGACGUAGCAUGGGCAUUGAUAGACCCAUUCAGUUUCUUAAUUCUGAUUUGUAUAAACAACACUGCCUUGAUCCAUUCGGAAAGAGUGUCUACGUCUUCCUUCUCGCGCCUGGCUUAAUCCUCGAUUGAAUCCAUAAAAAUUUUUAAGUUGUAUUUCCAAAUGAUGAAUUUAGGCUCACGAUAUUUCGGAUCUUUUGAUAACACAUUUCGUAGAGAAGUGUUAUUAACAAUGUUGAGGUCACCGGUCAUGACGUGGCUAGCCGGAUUAUAUGUGAAUUGGGAACUAGCACAUGUGCAAUCAGGAGGUUUAGACUUGAAGUCGUCAAUAUCGAGAUCCUGCAAAACGUGUCUGCGAUUGAAAAUUUUAGUUGCAAUAGGUUUGCUAUAGGUAUAAGAUAUGAUAGGUACAUACUGGUCUUUGAAAUAAGGAGGUAUAUUUUCGAUUAAACUAAUUUAUAAUGAAGGAUAUUGCCUAAGUUGACACCAUCGAGACCUUUGUUGGCAAAAAAAAGAGUAAGGAAAGAUCUUUUCUCUUUUUCAUCUUUUCCAAUGCAGACUGGCUUGAAAAGUCUGUGACUUGCAAUAUCCGAAAUUAUAGCUUCAAGUUGCAUAAAUUGAUAGGUACUUGGUAUAUGUAUACACAACAACAAAAAAGAGAGUUACGGUUCUUGAUCUUAUUUGUAGAUAUUAAUGUUUGAACAAUUUAGAGUUAAUUUUUGUUUUACAAGAAAGGAUAUAAUGAAUGGUUAUUCUCACGUGAUUUGGGAUUUUUUCUAAGUUAUUGUAAUUUUUUGGAUAUUUUGACCAAUAAUCCCUUUGAAUAAAUAAACUCAUAAUAGAUACCCAGGACUAGAUUUUGUAUAGACGCCAGACGCGCGUUUCGUCUACAAAAGACUCACCAGUGACGCUCGAAUCAAAAAAGUUAAAAAAGGCCAAAUAAAGUUCGAAGUUGAAGAGCAUUGAGGACCAAAAUUCCUAAAAGUUUUGCCAAAUCCAGCUAAGGUAAUCUAUGCCUGAGGUAUAAAAGCCUUAGUAUUUCAAAAAUUCUAAAUUUUUUGAACAGUUAAAGGCAUAAAAUGUGCAAUAGAUUUUCAUUAUUUUCUUUGGUCAAAUGAAAACAUAGAGAUUAUAUAUAAAUAUGCACGUAUGUUGGUCAGAUGCUUGACAUAACUCUAUACAAAUAUCCUUGCUAUAACAAAAAUAAUACAAAAAGUAAAAUCACAAAAAUACUGAACUCAGAGAAAAAUUAAAUCGGAAAGUACCUAAUCACAUGGCAAAAACAAAUGAAAAACACAUCAAAAACGAAUGGCAACAACUGGCAUAUUCUGACUUGGUACAGGCAUUUUCAAAUGUUAAAAAUGGUGGUUUAAACCUGAUUUUAUAGCGCUAAACGUCUCACUUUGAUGACAGUCUCAUCACAUUACUUUAUAUUUACAAUGAUGCGUGAACUAAACAGACAUAAUGAAUAAAAUAGUCAAAAUAUGGGUACAGUAAUCAUCAUCGUGCUACAACUUUAAAAGAAACUAUUUAAAAGAACACAAAAGCAUCUAUCAAAUUUAAAAAACAAUCAUAAACGAGGACAAUGCAUUACCCCUGACUUAAUAAAUUGUACACACUAACGAUACUCAUCAAUAUAUAUAAAUAAGGUUCCAGGUUUCCAGAACAAAAGUUGAAUUGAUGAAAAAAAAACUUUCACGUAUUAGGAAAUGAUUAUAUAUACUUUUUAGCUUGACUUGAAAAAAAUAAUACUAUAGAUAUUAAACAAAAUAUAAAAAUUACCUUUCGAUUCGAAUUAUCUAAACUACCGUCUGAUUCACCAUGUAGGUUAUCAAUCACAUGACUGAUUUAGAUCUGAUUAGUUAUUAUCUACAUACUAACGUUUGGGGUAGAUAAAGAAAUAUACCUACUUAUUAUGGACAUCUCUGCUUUUAUUCGAUCUUUGUAUUCUACAUGUUCUACUUUUUUUAACUUAAUUAUUUCUGGAAAGGCAAACCUGAAAGUUUAUCCGUAAAAACACACGUUUUUUUCUAUGUCUGAUACACAAAAUCAAUCUAAUAAAAUUAAGUCCUUUAAUAGCUCCCGUACUGAUGUGUCGCGCAUUAAGGCCUUGACGCACGACAUAUCAGAACGGGAGCAAUUAAAAAUUUAUUCUUGAUUAGAUUGACACACAAUUAUUGAAUCUAGCAUGUUUCAUUACCCUGCAAGUUUGCAUAUAAAGCAUACAAUCCCGUUUGUGGGUCUUGUUGCCACUCAGAUAUCACAUUUUUAGCAUUUUUUGGAGUUUUGUUUUGUUAUUAUCUUGAUAACUAUAGCAUAUACUAGGAAGACAAAUAUAAAAAAAAACGAAAAUAGAUUAAAUUUCAGCUUAAAAAGACUAACAAGAAAGUAUAGUUUAACCAGUUAUCAAUUAUGAAUAAUAGUUCUCAAAAGUACAAGGAUUAUAAUUAAGUAGACCAGACGCGCGUUCGUUACAUAAGACCAUCGUGACGCUCAUAUCAAAAAUUUAAAAACCAACAAGUACAAAGUUGAAGAGCAUAGAGGAUCCAAAAUUCGAAAAAGUUGUGCCAAAUACGGCUAAGGUAAUCUAUGCCUAGAAUAAGAAAAUCCUUAGUUUUUCGAAAAAUUCAAAGUUUUGUGAACAGGAAAUUUAUGAAAAUGACAACAUUAUUGAUAUUUAUGGCAACACCGAAGUGUUGAUACUGGUGGUGAUCCCUCGGGGACGAAACGUUCACCAGCGUGGAUCGACCCAGUGGUGUAAAUAGUUAUCAAAGUACCAGGAUUAUAAUUUAGUACGCCAGACGCGGUUCUUGUCUACAUAAACUCAUUAGUGACGCUCAUAUCAAAAGAUUUAUAAAACCAAACAAGUACAAACAUGAAGAGCAUUGAGGAUCCAAAAUUCAGGAAAUACUAUUAGUCAUCUCAUUUUAAACUGCAAAAAUUCUCAACCCAGACAGGAUUUACAAGGAACAUAGAUGAAAUACUAAGUCUACUUGUUACGUUUAAAUGUUGCUGUCCGUAUAUUUUCAUUUUAACCAAAAACUCGGACUCUUUUACUUUAUAACCCAACCCAUAAAGAGCUAUAUUACACUAUCAUUAACCCCAAAACUUACGCUAACCUAUACCUACAUAUAAUACUAGUCCCAACCUUAAAACCUAACCCUUACCUAAAACAUCCCUAACCUAACCAUUACCAUGAAUGAUCCUUAACUCUUAAGUAUAUGGACCCUUAAAGUAAAAGAAGCCCAAAAACGCUCAGAUACAGAAACUUAACUCAAGUAGCUACAUAUGUUGAAAAAGAGAAACUAUUUGUUUUUGGCCUACAAUUUUAAAAACUAUAACAUAUAGCGAGAGAAUGUUUUAGCCGCAAAACUUAUUAUAUGAUCUAGGUUAACAAGUAAGUCGUUAAAAUACUUCAAUUACGGUUUUAACACAUUUGUGUAUUUGGAAGAAAAUCAUAUGGCAUAUUGAAAGCAUCUGUAUGCAGAAAAAUGUGUGCUGUGAAUUCAGGCCUACAAUAAAGUCAUCCGGUCAAAGUCGAUAACUGACACAUUAAUGAAGUUCUCACUCUGAAAUGAAAAUGUCCAUCCAUUUUUUAUUGCAUUUUCAUGCAAUUAUCAUGAAAACGUGUAUAUAAAAAAAGAAGAUGUAUGUUCCAGUCAGUGUGAAAGAUAAAGGGAAGUUAUUAACAGUGAAAUACGUUGAACAAGGAUCUGUUUGUCCAUCCGAAGCACAUGACUUCACACAUGAGGGUUUUUUAUGCGGUCUGUUGGUAUCUAUGUAGUGUAGACAUCUAGUGUUACACCCUUGUAAUAAAAUUAACGGUACCAAUUGUAUUGCACCAGAUGCGCAUUUCGACAAUACAUGUCUCUUCAGUGAUGCUCGUGGCCAAAAUAUUUGAAAUCCAAAGCUUAUAUAAAAGAUGAAGAGCUAUAUCCAAAAAGUAUUGCCAAAUCCGUGAAAGAAUCCAGAGCUUUGCACGAGGGAGUUACAUUCCUUAAUUUAUAAUAAUUUCUAAUAUUUUGUAACAGCAAAUUUUGAUAACACAAAAAAUCUUGUUAUAUAUCUUAUAUAUAUUUUUCGGGUAUGGUAACGUUGAUGUUUAUUUUGCCGUUUUUUUAAAUGUGCUUUUCUUUCACAAUAUACACGAAAGAUGCUAGGAUUGCCCAAAGGAAGGAUCCAACAUAGAGAGGUAAUUCUUUGGACUAUCUUCAUUCAACGAGACCAAUUUUGUCAAAAAUGAUUUUAAAAGUUUUAAAAGAGAAAAAAAAUACUAAUGAAACACAAUUUGCAACAACAAACGGAUUUUAAUACUUUGUAGUUUGUAUUUAAUUAGGUGAAAUUGACCUGACCCAGGUCAUUAUUAAAUCGUUCAGGUUAAUUUUUUUUUAAAAGAAUUACUUGUCGGUCUAAAGCAAUACUUUGUAGUUUGUAUUUAAUUAGGUGAAAUUGACCUGACCCAGGUCAUUAUUAAAUCGUUCAGGUUAUUUUUUUUCAAAAGAAUUACUUGUCGGUCUAAAGCAAUGCCAAUUCAAACUCAGGAACAAACAUUUAAGGAAAAAGGUCACGUUCGGUACUUAAGGUAACACGAUACCGAAUGGCAUAUCUCUCGAUUUCCUUUUUUUUUUUGGCAUACGUGUUCUUUGAAUCGAGUUACAUCGGAAUUAUGAAUAAAAAUGGGGCACCAUUUUUGUUUUCUUGGUAUUUUCAUAAGAAAAUGUCAAUUUUGGCGACAAAUUUACUUAGGUAUAUAGAGGAAAUGCCUAUUUUUCGGCUUGCCCUUUUUAGAUUUUCCAAUGGAUGGCUAUGUUCUUAUAUACGGAGGAAAACAAAAAACUAACAUAAUAUCCAGGAUUGCAUUCUGAAUCCAUACACGUAUAGAAACUUAUAUGUCACCAUCCUUGUUUUUGAGAUAAAUGGCUUCAAAGUUGAUUGCUACCCUUAGAAUUUGGCCGAAAACGUGUGACGUUAUUGAAUACAGAAUGUAACGUUAUUGCUACUCAGAGAAAUGGAAACAAAAUAUGUGUCGGAAUCUGAAUGGUGUUUAUUUUAUUUUCAUUUCACCUGUCGGGUGUCGUAAAUUUCCUAGUAAUGCAAUAUGAAAUAUUUUGUCCUGCAAAUGGAAAUUUCACUCAAAUAAAUUAACUUUUGUCUAAUUUUCACACCAAACGAGUAUAUUGUAAUUCGGUAGUUUUUGUUUGUUUAUGUGUUACAUAUUUGUUUUUCGUUCAUUGUUUUAUAUAAAUAAGGCCAUUAUUUUUCUCGUUUGAAUUGUUUUACAUUGUCAUUUUGGGGCCUUUUUUUAGCUGACUAUGCGGUAUAGGCUUUCCUCAUUAUUAAAGGCCGUAUGGGGACCUAUAUUUGUUAAUUUCUGUGUCAUUUAGGUCUUUUGUGGAGUGUUGACUCAUUGGCAGUCAUACCACAUCUUCUUUUUGAUAUAUACUUGAAACUUGCUUGAACUGGUUGGUUCCACGUGAGUCUUAUGAUAAUAGUUCAUGAAUAAAUCACCGGAAAUAGGUACACGUUAAAUUCACGUAAAUUUUUUUAAAUAAGAUUAUUCAAAUAGUAUCUUAAUUCUAAAAUUCAAUUAAAAUCAUUAAAAAUAACUUCACAUUUUUGUAAAGUUCACGUGGAAAUAACAUGAAAAAUUUCACGUGUGAUUCAUUUGAAAAACUGAGUUUUUAAAAUCCAUCCUUUAAGACAAUGAUCCAUGCAGAAAUAGAGUACUUUAAAAAUUUUAUCCAGUUAACAGUUUUAUGAUUGCUCGGUUUUUGAUGGUCGUUUAACAUUCAGUAGCAAAUAGUUCAUACAUGUUCGGGAUGAAACAAUACAAUUUUGAAAACAGUUGCUUAUAAAAGACACAUUUGAUGCACCAGUCAAAAAAAGGUUGAACAUUCUGUUACUAGUAGUUGUGAAAAUUAUGAGUGAAAACAAUGAUUCUGAUAAAAUACACAUUCUAAAAAAUAAAAUAACAAAACUCAAAGAAAAUUUUAGAACUCACAUUUUUGAUUUGCUACAUACAUAAGUAUAGCGUACUCUGCGUGGUGAAAAUGUGUCAUUUGGUUGCUAAGCAAGUCGAACAAUCAUUGCAAACUGUACAAAACCUUUUACAAAAUUCAACAGUCUGUCAUUUGUGGAAAAUUAUUUACAAAACAAAUCUUACGAUCAGAUAUGCAUUCUUUAUAAGUAAAACAAACUGCGAAAUAUAAAGGUUUAAGCUUGAAAUUUACAUGUAGGAGAUGUAAGCCGGAGUCUGUACUCUGUGUGCCUUUUAUAUUUUAUCAAAAUUCCUAAUCUAGCAACCUGUCAUGAACAAAAAAUAAAGAAAAUCCAGACGAUAUGCGCAGCCUUAAUAUAAGUUUUAACACCAUGUACAUAAUUUAAACCUGAAGCAAAAAGACUAGUUUUGAAUAAUUAGCCGUAUACACCCUAUAUACCAAGUGCGGGAUUGACGGUUGAACGGACACAAAAGACACAAUAUGAUGAUACAAAUGUACGUGCCUAUUAGGAUUUUGGUGACAAAACAUAUUUUUUUAAUAUGCAGUUCCUCUAAUGGAAUAGUUAUUUGGAGAUCUAAAAUAAAGUAGCAAUGUAAGAAAACUAACAUCUCGGUCAUUUUGUCUUUGUUGGAAAGUUGAUUAAUUUGCAAUUUUACCGCACCUCCUUAUUUCAUUAUGGUUUGAAUUUUCUACCGAAAUAUAAAAGUUUAAAACUUUAACAAAUAUGUACUAAGAUACUGAAAUGUUACUGUGAUAAUUAUACUACAAGUACUUAUCAAAAUUUUCCAAUCUAGGGGACCAACGUUUACUAAAACUACAAAUUAGAAAUAAAAAGAUAUUCAUCCAAUUAGCUUCAGUCACAAUUUGCAUGAUCUUUUUGGUUUUGAUGUUGUUAAGUAGAUAUAGUGAGAUGUGGUGUGAGUGCCAAUGAGACAACUCUCCAUCCAAAUAACAAUUUAAAAAAGUAAACCAUUAUAGGUCACUGUACGGCCUUCAACACGGAGCCUUGGCUCCAGAUGUUGCUUUCUUGUAAAUUGCAUAUCCCAUAUCUCCAUUUAUCAUUAUAACAGCCAACUGAUGUACAAAUAAAAUGUUCCAUAUAAUUGCUUGCUUUAUUUAUACUGAGUCUCAUGCUACCCCACUUCCAUAAUGAGCAAGCGGUAACGAUAUUUCUUUUUGCGUAAAUGUUCGUAAACUUUGUCAAUUUCUUAGAAAAAAUUAGAGGCGAUGAAUUGAAUUUUAACAACUAAAGUUUCAAGUGACGGUCCAGUGGCAAAUAGAUCAUGCAUGUUAAGAGCGAGAACAAGUUAACAAUAAAUACAUUACAAUGGUAGGUUAUGUAGAGGCGUUGUUCCGGGAUUAUGGUCGAGCAAAUUUGGAAUGACACUGGACAAUGAGGGUAUAUUGGAUAGGGACAGAAUUUUUAUCUUGCAACAGGCCACCUACAGACCCCUCAAAUAGUUGUUGCAAAGGUUUUUGAUUUUCAAAGAGCAUAGCACUCUCUUUAUAAUUUCUAGGCAUCGGAUUUAAUGUCCCCAUUCUGACCGGAUGUGGCUGCAAAUUUGAUACAUCCCGCACAGUCAAAUGGACGUCUUACUUUGGAAGCAUUUUACUGCCGGUCGGAAGGAGACCAAGUGACCAUUUCUAUUCGGCCUAGUCACCCUUUGGGUGUAAUUCGUAGAAUAAAGCAAAAUAUAAAAAUUAUGUAAAUUGUCAGAAAUAUAAAAUGUAUUAGUACUCACUAAGACACAAAUCUCUUUCUGUCGCUUGAAUAAAAAGUUAGUCAGUCGUUUGCUUGGAAAUUUCGCAUCAUCCUAAGUUUCUAUAGAUAUUUCUACGUUCAAAGGGAAAUGUCAUGGGGAUACGGUGUGCAUCAUGAAUUUAUUGCAAAAAUAAAACAAGAAUAAAAUAAAGUGACAAAACUCAGUCUUUUGUGCAUAAGAACAUAUAUACAUGUAGAUAAGUCGUGCAGAUGCUUGAAUAUUAAAGAAACUGAAUAUUUAAAAGUAUAGUAUUACAUUGUUAAAGAUUAACAAUUAGCAGAAGAAUUGCCGGAAAACGAUAAAGCAAUCUAUGUCAAAUAAGAUAACCGUUACGUAUUGCAUCAAAACUCUCGUCACUCUGCAUCUAUAAAAAGUUUCCGUUUAAAAUGUCACAUAGUUACCAAUUUUUUUAAUUUAUUUUUUUUAUUUAAAAUCACUUUGUAAUUGCAGAACCUGCUACAUUUGGCUUGUAUACAUGUGUCAACGUUAUUCGAUAACGUCAGGAACGAUAACUCGUGGCGUAACGUCAUUCGGUAUCGUGUUACCUUAACAGACCAAACAACGUAAAUGGUAAACAACAAUGUAAGACGUGGUCAAAUGUCAUUUGUUAGUUGAAACAGACUCCUCGUAUACAUAAACACAUUUGUGAUUGUGCUAAAAAAGAUACCAGGACUUUCAUUUUUAUUCGUUUAAUUUUUAUAACUCGUUUCGGAGCUGUUUCUGUGUAAGCAGAAAACUUCUGUAUAUGAAGUCUGUAUAGUGUAAACAUGGACGAGCAUAACGUAUCAAUUAAGAUAUAUAAGCACCAUAAGACGGGACAAAAUGUAUGUAUCUGCUUGAGAGAUGGCAAAUGGAUAAUUAUGAAGAGAUAAACAAGUAUGUCGUAGAUUUUAGUUGAAGUCGUCCAUGAUGGCAUCUGUGUCAAAAUUAAGGAAAAGAUUAAGGUAUGGAGUAGUCCUUCUAGUAUCAGUAGUAUCCUUAAUUUCGAGUUUACAGGGAUAUAUGAGAUGCCAGCCCUGACUAAAAAUUGGCUAUAAAUUGAUAGUCAUCUGCAAUAUAUCUGAAAGUAAAAUUAAAGAAUUACACAAGGUGCUUUUUAAUUAUGUAUUUAAGAAGGUUCUGAACUAGUUCUGCUCCAUACGAGCACAAAAACGAAAAGACCAGGAUUGCACAAUAAAAAUUCAUUUGAAUAUCGAUUGUCUGAUGAAAAGUCAAUCCUCCGAACUUAUCAACUAUAUUGUCAAAACAGUCCAGCACUUUGAUGAUAUCAUCUUAGUAUAUUUUGUCAAUAGAAUCAGUGUGGUUUGUCAUAAAAUAAGAAAAAUUAUAACUCAAAACAAGAAAUUUGUAUCUAUGAUUUCCAUUUUUAAACAAAAAAAAGCUUUGUUUAAUGAGAUAGUGAAGUCAAUCAUCCAAUUGAGCAUAGAAAAAACAGGGUUAAGCGUAACAAGAACUAUCUUUAAAAAAGAUAUCCGACGCAUUUAAAUUUGAGUAUAUGUUAAAACUAUUAUUCGACAACCUUCAGAAGCACAAUGACUAAUGAUGCAGGACCUCUUUAUUAAUCUCUAUCUGAAUGUAACUAAAAGAAAUUCUUACUAGUCUGUUAUAUUAAGGCAAUGAUAUAUAAGAAUAUUGUGAUGACACCUAAAAAUUUUAUUUGUCAAAAAAUCAGUGCAAUACAAGAAACAAAUAUACAUUUAUUACUGUAUUAACUUAAUUCAUGGUUACAAAGCUAGAAACUGUUGUAGUAUAAGUAGAGAUUCAAGAUGCUGAAGCACUCAACUAUAAUAUUUUGAUUUGCUUUCAGACAUUGUUCUUACAAAAAGUAAAAUACAUUGUACAUAUCGAAUAAGACAAAUGUUUACAUUCGCCAAAAACCCCGCGAAAAUCUCACAUGCGUAAGUGCGUUCUAAAAGUCAUGCCCGUUCGUACAACAAAGUUUACAUUAAAAUAUAUAAUUGUCCCGAUAACAGCUGUCAUGGAUGCAAAGAGUAUUGAGAAACAAUUAUUUUAAUAAAAUAUAAAUCUUUGUAAGAUCUAGUUCAAAAUAUUUAUAGUUUUUCACUUGCUUUCCAUCACGAUAUAGUUAACGAGACGUUUUUUCAAACACAAACCAAAUCACCCACCAUGACAGUAUUUUGUCCAAUCACAGAAAGCAUUUUCGAGCAUGCGUAUUCUGUUGCCAUAGUUAAGCGCCCUUAAGUUCAAAGGGCACCAACCGAAACUAUACCGACUACGUCAGAAAAAAAACAUCGGUCUUAAUGUUGCUGCAUAAUUGCAAACAUUGUGAUCUGGUGAUCCACGAUUUAGCAGUAGAUCUAUAGAUUUUUUUAAGAAUCCACCUAUGAUAUGUAUGAUCAACGUUCUGAUUGAAGAUAUCUCAUCACAAUAUUUCUAAAAAUCAUCUUUUUAAAUUUCUGUAAAAAGAAUAAUAGUUAACACUUUAAAAAUAUAUUCAGUUUAACAUCUUGAUGAUUCAGCUAUAUAAAAAGAAGAUGUGGUAUGAUUGCCAAUGAGACAACUCUUCACAAAAGACCAAAUGAGACAGCAAGUUAUAACUAUAUGUCCCUAUACGCCCUUCAACUAUGAGCAUAUCUUAUAGUCAGACAUAAAAGGCCCCGAAAUGACAAAUAUAAAACAAUUCAAACGUGAAAUUUAACAGCAUAAUUGAUGUGCAAAAAAUGAAUAAAAACUAAAUAUGUAACACAGCAUGAAACGACAACCACUGAAUUACAGGCUCUAAGCUUGGGAUAGGUACAUCAUGAGGUGGGUUAAACAUUUUAGCGGGAUCUCAACGGUCCCCUAAAUAGGGACACAUUGGUGUAACAGUACAACACAUGAACGACCAAUAGAAAUCAGUUGAAAAAGGCAUAACCCAUCAGAUGGACACAGCUAAAAUACAUAUAACAAAGAAACAUAGUGGACGUGGUCGUGUACCUAUACAUCUGUUCAACAAAAAGAUAUUAAGUGCAUAUCUGAGAGUACAUUUUUAUAAGAGAAAGAAAAUAUAUUUUACAAAAUUAAUAAUUUUGAUAUUCAUAGUAUGAAGAAGUGAAUAUUCAUAGUAAUACCAAAAACUUAGACAAGCCGGUAUACAACCAAAAAUAAACAUGAAAAGUAAACAUUAAAUAACAAAGAAGCGUUACACAUAGUAUCAACGGGUCAAAUUAAGAAGAAAGUACGAUGUGAGAGUACUCGCAGUUACUGAAACUAGUUCAAAGUAAAAAAAAACAACUAAUUAAAGAAAUAAUGUAAUUAAGACUAAAUCAUCAAUCAGUAUAUAGCCAACAUCCGAUGGAUUUAGUGUAAAAAUGCCAUAAACGGUCAGAGCAAAACAUGACCUUGGCAUUUCGACAGUUUUUAGAUCAUGACAGUACAAAUGUUUAUAACAAUAAUAUUUAGUUUGCUUUUGAUAAAAUGACAGAAAUCAAUUAAUACAUAUAAAGACAAUACUCAAAGAUCUAAUUACAGUGUUGAUGUACAGUGGUAACCUAACUUUAAAGGAUUGAUAAGUUCACUAGGAUCGUUUCUAAAUUUCCGGGAACUGUAAACAACAUUAUCGUACACAAAUGUUAUUUCAAGUUAUGGUAUCCUACAUGUUGACGGUAAAUAAUAAGGAUGGACGAUGCAAGUGAUAGCAUCAAGUGAUUAGAAAUGCUCACAUGGCCCUUCGGACCAGGUGAGCGAAACAUGAUUUUCAAAAUCUAGUUAUUUUAAUCCAUUAUUUAUUUUGAAAUUUAUUAUUGAAUGUCUAUCCAAUCAACACAAUCAAUCACUUAAAUCGUGACAAGGUUUUUUUUUAAUAUACUUUACUUUACACAUCACAAUUAUUUUAUAAGAAACUAUGGUUAGUUGUUACAUAGAGUUCAUUGUGGAAUUCGUAAUGUUUUAACAGCAUUACCUAAACCACUUAUUGUAAAUAUAAUUGUGCAAAUAUAUAUUGUCUAUUUUGAUCUAUUGUCUAUGAUUAUUUCAUAUAAUGAUAAAAAGAGACAGCACUUCACACUGUUUUUCUUUCCUCAAGUACAAUUUAGCAAAAAAGCUUUUCUAUUGGUGUAGUUCGCGACUAGCAACUGAUUCGUUGUUCCACUAUAAUGAAGUGACAUAGGAUUAUCAAGACCAUCCCUUGCUGUCAAUACUUCUCUAUGUCUUUUUCCAUCAGGGGAGAUAACUACAACGUUGUACGAUUCGUCCCCCACCACGAACACAUUACCAUCGUUAUCUACAUCAAUACCAUGAGGAGUUUUAAGAACGCUUUCGUUAUGGAAUGUCCAUUGUAGUUUACCUUGUAGGUUAUAACAUGUCACAGUGUUUUUUUGAUUGUUUGUAUGAUAUAUAUUGUCCCUAAAAGUUGCAGUGUAGCAACCACUGGUCAUUGCUUCUCGGACUUAUUCACUGAUAGACUCAUCGUUUAAAUUGAUCAUUCGUAUACCUUUGUAUAACCCUAAAUAAAUCAAUUGAUUACCUUUCAGUGCUAUUCCAUAAAUUUCAGAAUCCAGUGCAAUGGUUUUCAUCAUUUGUUUUGUCUCCAGGUUUAUUAUGGUAAUGGUACAUGGAUUAUUAGAUGAUACAGCCAAUGCAUUGUCUUCUCUAAUGUAAAAUACAUCUAACGGGUGACACGGCAUCUCGAUCUCAAAGUCUUUUGAUCCAUUAUUGAAUACUGUUAAUCUUUUGUCAAAGUAGUAAGUAAAUGCCAAUCUAUCACUAGGCAGCAUGCAACAUCCGUAAACGUAGUUUCCUUGAGUUUUGAUGGUCUUAUGUAUCGUUAGCUGUAUAUUUUCUAUGGAUUUUAUUGAAAUGAUUGGAACCAUCAAUUGGGCUUGUCUGGCCUUCUUCUUGAUCAGAACUAUGUCGCAUGGAUUAGAUUCAAUACGCACUUCCCCAAAACUUCUGAUAUCGGAUAUGAUAUUCUGGAUAGAGGUGUUGAUCUUAUAUGAAAGAGUAUGCUGUUCCUUGCCUUCCACAAGAGCCUGCAAUUUUUUUUCUUGGCUAUAAACGUCCUCUUCCUAUUUGCUUAAUUGAGAGAAACAUUUGAAGAUCUGUUGCGUGUUUCUUGAUGUUCAAUAGGCUAUAUUGGCAUUCUCCUAUUUCUUGUUCUUUCUUUUCUAGCGAGGAUAUUAACUAACAAAUUUUAGAGUUUUCUAUUUGUUCGUUGAGUUGUUUCAUUAAAUUUGCUUGUAGUUUGUCGAGGUGGUUGUUGAUCUUCAUUCUAGUUUUCUUUAGUUCUUUUUCGAUUUCUUUUCUUUUUUCUUUAAAAGUCAACAGAUUGUCUUGUUGAUGCUGGCGAAUCUUCUUUAGAUUUUCUGCCAUCUCAACUAAUGAUUCCUCUAUCUCGCACAUAGCAUUGGAGAUUUGGCGUUACGAAU